GAAAUGUUCUAUUCCCAAAUCCCAAUUCCCAAUCCCGCUGCCCACACUUAUUUUUAUCCCCCAAUUCCCAAAUCCCUAAAAACUAAAUUAUUUUCCUCAAAAUUCACUCCAAGCUCCAAGCCAAGGAAAAAUUUCACAACUUGAAAAUACUCACGCAGCUAUCAUCAUAAGCGGCCAAGUGUCAACGAAAAUACGAUGUCAUUCCGACAAACAACAAUACAAGUCAGAAGUUGAUGUCAGAAGUUAAAGAUAAUGGUGCACCCCUUAUCUUCAAAUCCUGGGUUCGCCUCUGUUACCGACGCUGGCAUCCACUGGACUAUUAUCUGCACUUGAUAAUCAUGUUACAUGUGAUAAUGGACCUAACCAUCCUCCAACAACCUCCAGUUACGGCCCGAAGUACUUGGCAGCCACCCUUUACCAGCUGAGCCCUCAUGAGAUUUUGUGCUGGCCACUUUGCUAGUAAGGCCGUUAAAUAUUUACCCUGCGGAAGAUUAUUCAAAGGAGAUAGUUCUUUCAAGAAAAAGGUAUGGAUCAGUUAGACGAGUAUUCAUUGUUUCUCCUGAAGAUAAAUUAUAAAGAAGGAAUUUCAACAGUGGAUGAUUAAAAAUAAUCCCCCAGAUGAAGUGGAAGAGAUCCGGGGCUCUGGCCACAUGGUCAUGAUGUCUAAGCCCCUUCAAAUUUUUACUAAGCUUCUGGGCAUCGCGGCUAGGUAUAACUAAGAUUUGUUAAUUAAUUAAGAAGAAUAAGGGGGACAGCUGUAAUUAGGCUGAGGAUAAAACUUCAGUCAAUUCAGAUAUAUGAUGAAUUGAUAUUUCAAUCAUUUUCUUUCUGUUGUUGUUUCCUUUAGUUGUAAUCUCAGUGUUUGGAAUUGACACCAAUAAACAACCUCUAUUUUUUGUAA